GGUUCGAUUCUGGCUCAAGAUUGAACGCUUGGCGGGAUGCUUUACACAUGCAAGUCGAACGGCGGCACGGACUUCGGUCUGGUGGCGAGUGGCGAACGGGUGAGUAAUGUAUCGACGAUGCCUAAUCGCAGGGAUAACUACGCGGCGCGCUAAUACAUACGCUAUGGGGAAAGCAGAGACCUUCGGGCCUCGCACUAAUGAAGCAACCGAUAUCUCGGAUUAGCUAGUUGAUGAGGUAACGGCUCACCAAGGCGACGAUCCGUAGCUGGUUUGAGAGGACGACCAGCCACACAGGACUGAGACACGGCCCAGACUCCUGCAGGAGGCAGCAGUGAAAUUUUGGACAAUGGGGGAAACCUGGUCAACAUCCCGCGUGUGCGAUGAAGGCCUUCGGGUUUAUGCAAAACGCUUUUUUGGCAGGAAAGAAACGGCACGGAUAAUACCCGUGCAACUGACGGUACCUGCAGAAUAACACCGGCUAACUACGUGCCAGCAGCCGCGGUAAUACGUAAGUGCAAGCGUUAAUCGGAAUUACUGGGCGUAAAGCGUGCGCAAACGGUUCGGAAAAAGAAAGAUGUGAAAUCCCAGAGCUUAACUUUGGAACUGCAUUUUUGCUACGAGCUAGAAUGUGUCAGAGGAGGUGGAAUUCCGCGUGUAGCAGUGAAAUGCAUGAAUAUGCGGAGGCUUUACCGAUGGCGAAGGCAGCCUCCUGGGGGAUAACACUGACGCUCAUGCACAGCUUUGAUGAGAGCAAACGGGAUUAGAUACCCUGGUAGUCACCUAACAUUCUCAACUAGCUGUUGGGGCCUUCGGGCCUUGGUAGCGCAGCUAACGCGUGAAGUUGACCGCGCAGGAUACGGUCGCAGAUUAAAAACUCAAAAGAAAUUGACGGGGACCCACACUGACAGGUGAUGAUAUUCAGGACAAUUCGAUGCAACGCGAAAAACCUUACCUACCCAACAGCAUAUGGAAUCCCGAAGAGAUUUGGGAGUGCUCGCAAGAGAACAGAACAGGUGCUGCAUGGCUGUCGUCAGCUCGUGCUCGUGAGAUGUUAAAGGUUAAGUCCCGCAACGGCGCAACCCUUGUAUUGGUUACUACGAAGGCAUAAUGAGACUGCAGUGACUUUCAAACCGGAGGAAGGUGGGGAUGACGUCAAGUCCUCAUGGCCCCCGCCUAUAGUGGGCUUCACACGUCAUACAAUGGUCGGGACAGAGGGUCGCCAACGCGAGGAGCCAAUCCCAGAAACCCGAUCGUAGUCCGGAUCGCAGUCUGCAACUCGACUGCGUGAAGUCAGAAUCGCUAGUAAUCGCGGAUCAGCAUGUCGCCGGUGGGAAUGCGUUCCCGGGUCUUUUACUGAAAUACACCGCUACGGAUUGGGUUUACUGAAGGUAGUUAGCCUAACCGUAAGGAGGGCGAUUACCACGGUAGGAUUCAUGACUAGGGUAAGAAGUCGUAACAAGGUAA
rnacentral:rRNA from 1 species